rnacentral:rRNA from 1 species
CAAUAGCGUAUAUUAACGUUGUUGCAGUUAAAAAGCUCGUAGUUGGAUUUCUGGAGGGAGCGUCGGCCCGUAUUUACGAGUGCGUGACGUCUCUGUCCAUCCUUGCGGGAAGGCACGGCAUUGAUUUGUUGUGUCGGAUCGCAUCAUUUACUGUGAAAAAAUUAGAGUGUUCAAAGCAGGCUUUCGCUUGAAUACAUUAGCAUGGAAUAAUAAGAUAGGACUGUGGUGCUAUUUUGUUGGUUGAGCCUAAAGUAAUGAUUAAUAGGGAUAGUUGGGGGCACCUGUAUUGCGUUGUCAGAGGUGAAAUUCUUGGAUUUACGCAAGACAAACAGCUGCGAAAGCGUCUGCCAAGGAUGUUUUCAUUA